rnacentral:rRNA from 1 species
UGGUGGAGUGAUUUGUCUGCUUAAUUGCGAUAACGAACGAGACCUUAACCUGCUAAAUAGCCAGGCCCGCUUCUGCGGGUCGCCGGCUUCUUAGAGGGACUAUCGGAUUUCAAGUCGAUGGAAGUUUGAGGCAAUAACA